AGUAUUUUAAAAGCGCCUGAACUAAUCAUCAGACGGUUUGAUUAGUUGACGAGGUGGAGGUUUAUCGAAAAUUCGGCGGAUACCUCCCGGUUGGAGACGCACAACCGAAAAUUUCUUCUUUAAAACAUGGAGGCAACUCUGUGCACAAAGAGAAGAAAAUGCGCAUAC
rnacentral:ncRNA from 2 species